CUUGCAUCGCCCUCUUCGUCCAUUGCAGUGGGCUUCUACUAUCCAGAGGUUUUUUUGCUGAGGUGGGCUGUCAUUAGUGACGUGGUGCUCAUGACACAAGUGAUGAUUGGCCGAGGUGGUUGACUUAAAUUGGUCUUUCAUCACUGCAAAUACAGGUCAUUUGAAUUUUCGUCCUUGAAUUUACUAAUCAGAUGUAAUUAUAACCAUUUUUCAAAUGAUUAAUAUUUGCAAUGGCAAAAUGGAAGGAUCAAUAACUUCAGAGACAAAAAUUCAAAUGUACUGUAUUUGCAGGGACGAAAGACCUAUUUAA
rnacentral:lncRNA from 1 species